UUUUUAAUUGAGAGUUUGAUCCUGGCUCAGGAUGAACGCUGGCGGCGUGCUUAACACAUGCAAGUC
rnacentral:rRNA from 2 species